UACGUAGGGUGCGAGCGUUGUCCGGAAUUAUUGGGCGUAAAGGGCUCGUAGGCGGUUUGUCGCGUCGGGAGUGAAAACCUCGGGCUUAACUCGGGGCUUGCUUUCGAUACGGGCAGACUGGAGGUAUGCAGGGGAGAACGGAAGUUCCUGGUGUAGCGGUGAAAUGCGCAGAUAGUCAGGAGGAACACCGGUGGCGAAGGCGGUUCUCUGGGCAUGACCUGACGCUGAGGAGCGAAAGUGUGGGGAGCGAACAGG
rnacentral:rRNA from 1 species